AGCAGUAGCCGCGGUAAUACGAAGGGGGCUAGCGUUGUUCGGAAUUACUGGGCGUAAAGCGCGCGCAGGCGGUUCUCCAAGUCAGUGGUGAAAGCCCGGAGCUCAACUCCGGAACUGCCAUUGAAACUGUUGAACUUGAGGACGAGAGAGGUGAGUGGAAUUCCCAGUGUAGAGGUGAAAUUCGUAGAUAUUGGGAAGAACACCGGUGGCGAAGGCGGCUCACUGGCUCGUAUCUGACGCUCAGGCGCGAUAGCGUGGGGAUCAAACAGGAUUAGAUACCCCAGUAGUCCCUGUCUCUUAUAC
rnacentral:rRNA from 1 species